rnacentral:rRNA from 1 species
GAGCUAACGGCCGCGGUAUCUUGACCGUGCAAAGGUAGCAUAAUCACUUGUCUUUUAAAUGGAGACUCGUAUGAACGGCGGAACCUUUUUCAACUGUCUCUUCCCCCACCCUUCUAAAUUCUUUCCUGUGUGAAGAAACCCAGAUACAUCAGAAAGACGAGAAGACCCUGUCGAGCUUUAACCACUAGGUGAGUUUACUUAUCCCUUUUUAAAUAUCACCAAAAGGUUUUGGUUGGGGUAACCACGGAGAAAAAAAAUCCUCCAGAUUAAAUAGAAGAAAAGUCUUCACUAUUACGCUUUCAAGAACCAGGAACUGGUAAUCGGAAAAAGUUACCGCAGGGAUAACAGCGUUAUCUCCUCUAAGAGUCCUUG